rfam:Schleiferia thermophila str. Yellowstone contig00015, whole genome shotgun sequence.
GAUAAAGGACUGGACUAUCGGAUAGGGCUUUCAGGAGCUGUUUCCAAACCGCCUUGUGGUGCUGCACCUUCAUGGUGUGGUACUGAGCGACAAGGUCAAAGCAAGUUCAUGCCCACUUGUAGGG